rnacentral:rRNA from 1 species
CGAACGGGUGAGUAAAGAAUCGCUAACGUACCCCGGACUCUGGGAUAGCUAGCCGAAAGGUUAGGUAAUACCAGAUGACAUAACUUCCCUGCAUGGGGGAGUUCUCAAAGGUCCGCCGGUCUGGGAGCGGGCGAUUUCGUAUCAGCUAGUUGGUGAGGUAACGGCUCACCAAGGCGACGACGCGUAGCCGGACUGAGAGGUUGGCCGGCCACAUUGGGACUGAGAGACGGCCCAG